rnacentral:rRNA from 1 species
GUCGACGGUAGCACAGAGAGCUUGCCCUCUUGGGUGACGAGUGGCGGACGGGCGAUUAAUGUCUGGGAAACUGCCCGAUGGAGGGGGAUAACUACUGGAUACGGUAGCUAAUACCGCAUAACGUCGCAAGACCAAAGUGGGGGACCUUCGGGCCUCACACCAUCGGAUGUCAGCCCAGAUGGGAUUAGCUAGUUGGUGAGGUAAUAGCUCACCAAGGCGACGAUCCCUAGCUGGUCUGAGAGGAUGACCAGCCACACUGGAACUGAGACACGGUCCAGACUCCUACGGGAGGCAGCAGUGGGGAAUAUUGCACAAUGGGCGCAAGCCUGAUGCAGCCAUGCCGCGUGUAUGAAGAAGGCCUUCGGGUUGUAAAGUACUUUCAGCGGGGAGGAAGGCGAUAAGGUUAAUAACCUUAGCGAUUGACGUUACUCGCAGAAGAAGCACCGGCUAACUCCGUGCCAGCAGCCGCGGUAAUACGGAGGGUGCAAGCGUUAAUCGGAAUUACUGGGCGUAAAGCGCACGCAGGCGGUCUGUCAAGUCGGAUGUGAAAUCCCCGGGCUCAACCUGGGAACUGCAUUCGAAACUGGCAGGCUAGAGUCUUGUAGAGGGGGGUAGGAUUCCAGGUGUAGCGGUGAAAUGCGUAGAGAUCUGGAGGAAUACCGGUGGCGAAGGCGGCCCCCUGGACAAGACUGACGCUCAGGUGCCAAAGCGUGGGGAGGCAACAGGAUUAGAUACCCUGGUAGUCCCCGCCGUAAACGAUGUCUAUUUUAAGGUUGUUCCCUUGAGGAGUGGCUUUCGGAGCUAACGCGUUUAAUAAACCGCCUGGGGAGUACGGCCCCAAGGGUAAAA